AUUGAACGCUGGCGGAAUGCUUUACACAUGCAAGUCGAACGGCAGCACGGACUUCGGUCUGGUGGCGAGUGGCGAACGGGUGAGUAACAUAUCGGAACGUAUCCAAUAAUGGGGGAUAACUAAUCGAAAGGUUGGCUAAUACCGCAUACGCCCUACGGGGGAAAGCAGGGGAUCUUCGGACCUUGCGUUAAUGGAGCGGCUGAUAUCUGGUUAGCUAGUUGGUGAGGUAAAGGCUCACCAAGGCGAGGAUCAGUAGCUGGUCUGAGAGGACGACCAGCCACACUGGAACUGAGACACGGUCCAGACUCCUACGGGAGGCAGCAGUGGGGAAUUUUGGACAAUGGGCGCAAGCCUGAUCCAGCCAUUCCGCGUGAGUGAAGAAGGCCUUCGAGUUGUAAAGCUCUUUCGCAAGGGAAGAAAACUUACUUUCUAAUAAAGAGUGAGGUUGACGGUACCUUGAUAAGAAGCACCGGCUAACUACGUGCCAGCCGCCGCGGUAA
rnacentral:rRNA from 1 species